rnacentral:rRNA from 1 species
UACGUAGGGGGCUAGCGUUGUCCGGAAUCAUUGGGCGUAAAGAGCGUGUAGGCGGCUCGGUAAGUCCGCUGUGAAAGUCGGGGGCUCAACCCUCGAAUGCCGGUGGAUACUGUCGGGCUAGAGUGCGGAAGAGGCGAGUGGAAUUCCUGGUGUAGCGGUGAAAUGCGCAGAUAUCAGGAGGAACACCUAUUGCGAAGGCAGCUCGCUGGGACGUAACUGACGCUGAGACGCGAAAGCGUGGGGAGCAAACAGG